UUGGAAAUCGAGCGCAGGAGGGGGAAAAAAAAAAGCUUUUGAAAGCGCCCUCCCCGCUUUUCUCUCUACGUUUAGUUUGCUAGCUCUCCCUGCCUCCCCCCCACCUUACACACGCACGCACUCCCCCCCCCUCCUUUCAGAGACCUUCAAUUUAUCCCAUCGCCAAGCUGCAUGUCAGCUGGGAGGUGGGGAAGAAGCUGGCUGCAAACUGCAGAGGGUUAAUGGCAGAGAACUGCGCUGGGGGGAGGGGAAGGCCGCCUUUGCAAAUGGAAACAUCGCUACAGAAGCAUUUAGCACAACCGAGAGGGAAAACGGCCCAACUGCAAGGAGGGAAGGAAAAAAACUCCCUUUGCUGCCCUCUGGUGCCAGAUCUUGCCAAAAGGAAGCGAGAAAUGGGCUUUAUCUGUGAAGUUUGGAUGAGGAGUUGAAUUAGGCAAGGAAAAAGCCAGUGGAAGGUUGUGAAAGUGGAAGGUCAGAGACUCCAUGGUUAUUCAGGGGGCUGUGUGGGCAAGGCAUCGAUUGAUUACACGUUUACCCAGAAUCAAUUCUUAGCAUCAACACAGAUGGACCUUUUCCGGGAUGAGUUUCCUGGCUUGUACUUUAAGGUCUCCCUGUAAUUCAGUUCAUUCACUUGGCUGCUGGUUGUAUAUUUCUUUUUCCUUUUAUCUUUCCUGUCUAUCCAUAAUAUUCUCAGGAAUGAGCCUUACAUCAUCCGGUCUACCAAGUAGCCUUGUGUGACCAGUUGGUGUUCCUUGAAAAAUAAUCCAUUGCCAGCAGACUUCACCACCACCAGGAAGAAUCCACCACAGAUAAGAUUUUGGCAGCUGUUUUCAUUACAGAAACAAGACUGUACCACAACAUCUGCAAGUCUCAUGGACACUGCCAGCUCCAGUGCUGCUGCCACGCCUUAAUUGCCAAACAGCUGAUUGGCACACCAGUAUUCCUUUGCUGGUGUCUAUAAUUUUUAAAGGAUGAAUAUGAUUUUUUGCCCUCUUAGCACAUUGUGCAACACCAACAUUCUGUUCUGCUUCUUCAAAGUCUUGCUUUCAAUUUCGUAGUGUGUCAUAAAGAAAAUCAUUGCUUAUGUAUUUCUGAUAUUUGUGAAAGCUAGUUGUCAAACUUGUGUGCCACUAAUCUCACUGCCUCACUUGAGGCAGUUUUCAGACAUUGAAGAAAAUCCAGAAUAAAUCAUUAAAACAAUAAA